CCUACGGGAGGCAGCAGUAGGGAAUCUUCCGCAAUGGGCGAAAGCCUGACGGAGCAACGCCGCGUGAGUGAUGAAGGUCUUCGGAUCGUAAAACUCUGUUAUUAGGGAAGCGGUACCUAAUCAGAAAGCCACGGCUAACUACGUGCCAGCAGCCGCGGUAAUACGUAGGUGGCAAGCGUUAUCCGGAAUUAUUGGGCGUAAAGCGCGCGUAGGCGGUUUUUUAAGUCUGAUGUGAAAGCCCACGGCUCAACCGUGGAGGGUCAUUGGAAACUGGAAAACUUGAGUGCAGAAGAGGAAAGUGGAAUUCCAUGUGUAGCGGUGAAAUGCGCAGAGAUAUGGAGGAACACCAGUGGCGAAGGCGACUUUCUGGUCUGUACUGACGCUGAUGUGCGAAAGCGUGGGGAUCAAACAGGAUUAGAUACCCUUGUAGUC
rnacentral:rRNA from 1 species